rnacentral:rRNA from 1 species
GUGGGGAAUCUUCCACAAUGGACGAAAGUCUGAUGGAGCAACGCCGCGUGAGUGAAGAAGGGUUUCGGCUCGUAAAGCUCUGUUGUCGGGGACGAAUGUGCAGUAUUUGAAUAAAGUAGUGCAAUGACGGUACCUGACGAGGAAGCCACGGCUAACUACGUGCCAGCAGCCGCGGUAAUACGUAGGUGGCAAGCGUUGUCCGGAAUUAUUGGGCGUAAAGGGAGCGCAGGCGGGAAGGUAAGUCGGUCUUAAAAGUGCGGGGCUCAACCCCGUGAUGGGAUCGAAACUAUCUUUCUUGAGUGCAGGAGAGGAAAGUGGAAUUCCUAGUGUAGCGGUGAAAUGCGUAGAUAUUAGGAGGAACACCAGUGGCGAAGGCGACUUUCUGGACUGUAACUGACGCUGAGGCUCGAAAGCCAGGGGAGCGAACGGGAUUAGAUACCCUAGUAGUCC